GUCUGCCUUGGUCAGGUUUCUUGUUUACAAAGUUGCUUUUUUCUCUGUUUCCGUGCUGUGCUCCCUGGAAGGAAGUCUCCAUGUGCAGCCCACACUGAGGAGAUCAAGGAAGGUGGAACAUUCUAGAGGCCUGAGACCCAGUUGGCUGCCCUCACACUGGACAGACAAGGAAGUUGCCCUGUAACCCUCACCAGAAGCCUGGAGAUAAUUUUAGAGGCCUGCCUGGAGUUUGAAGAACGCUCCUGAAAGAGAGGGACUCAGCUGGUGCAACCCUUCCCCUUUCCUCUUUCUCCUUGCUUUGAACAUGGAUCUAAUGGCAGGAGCUAAGGCAGCCAUCUUGUGACCAUGAGGAAAGAGACUGACAGCAGUUUCAGCCGGGCAUGCCUCAGCCAUUGAACAGCACCUUAGAUUUCUCACGUGAGAAAAAUAAAUUCCUGUUUGUUUAAAUCACUGAAGUAGUUUUUUG
rnacentral:lncRNA from 10 species